rnacentral:tRNA from 1 species
CCGCUAGCUCAGUUGGUAGAGCACAUCCCUUUUAAGGAUGGGGUCGAUGGUUCGAAUCCAUCGCGG